GAUGAACGUUGGCGGUGUGCCUUAUGCAUGCAAGUCGAACGGGGAUAUGACUUUCGGGUUAUAUUCUAGUGGCGAACGGCUGAGUAACGCGUAAGUAACCUACCCUCGAGUGGGGAAUAACUUGUCGAAAGGCAAGCUAAUACCGCAGAAGUAACCAAAAAAAUGUUUAGUUACCAAAGUCUUCGGAUGCUCGAAGAGGGGCUUGCGUCUGAUUAGCUAGUUGGUGAGGUAAUGGCUCACCAAGGCGAUGAUCAGUAGCUGGUCUGAGAGGAUGGUCAGCCAGAUAGGGACUGAGACACGGCCCUGACUCCUACGGGAGGCAGCAGCAGGGAAUAUUGGACAAUGGGCGAAAGCCUGAUCCAGCGACACCGCGUGAGGGAAGAAGGCCUUCGGGUUGUAAACCUCUUUUCUCUGGGAAGAAAUUUGACGGUACCAGAGGAAUAAGCCUCGGCUAAUUACGUGCCAGCAGCCGCGGUAAAACGUGGGGAGGGCAAACGUUAUCCGGAUUUACUGGGCGUAAAGGGAGUGUAGGCGGUUCUUUAAGUCAGGUGUGAAAUCUCUUGACUCAAUCAAGAGAAGUCAUCUGAAACUGAGGGACUUGAGGGCGGCAGAAGGAAACGGAAUUUCCGGUGUAGCGGUGAAAUGCGUUGAUACCGGGAAGAACACCAGUGGCGAAGGCGGUUUCCUAGGCUGUUUCUGACGCUGAGGCUCGAAAGCGUGGGGAGCGAAGCGGAUUAGAUACCCGCGUAGUCCACGCCCUAAACGGUGGACACUAGAUAUCGGGAGUAUCGACCCUCCUCGUGUCGAAGCUAACGCUUUAAGUGUCCCGCCUGGGGACACGACCGCAAGGUU
rnacentral:rRNA from 1 species